rnacentral:rRNA from 2 species
GGGAUGACGUCAAGUCAUCAUGGCCCUUACGACCAGGGCUACACACGUGCUACAAUGGCGCAUACAAAGAGAAGCGACCUCGCGAGAGCAAGCGGACCUCAUAAAGUGCGUCGUAGUCCGGAUUGGAGUCUGCAACUCGACUCCAUGAAGUCGGAAUCGCUAGUAAUCGUGGAUCAGAAUGCCACGGUGAAUACGUUCCCGGGCCUUGUACACACCGCCCGUCACACCAUGGGAGUGGGUUGCAAAAGAAGUAGGUAGCUUAACCUUCGGGAGGGCGCUUACCACUUUGUGAUUCAUGACUGGGGUGAAGUCGUAACAAGGUAACCGUAGGGGAACCUGCGGUUGGAUCAC